rnacentral:rRNA from 1 species
AAGCAGCGGAGCGUGUGGUUAAUUCGAUGCAACGCGAAGAACCUUACCAGGGUUUGACAUGCUUAAAGUAGGAACUCGAAAGAGGGACGACCUGUAUCCAGUCAGGAGUUUGCACAGGUGCUGCAUGGCUGUCGUCAGCUCGUGCCGUGAGGUGUUAGGUUAAGUCCUGCAACGAGCGCAACCCUCGUCGCUAGUUGUUUUCUCUAGCGAUACUGCCCGUAUAACGUGGAGGAAGGUGGGGAUGACGUCAAGUCAGCAUGGCCCUUACAUCCUGGGCUACACACACGCUACAAUGGGUGAUACAACAGGUUGCAAUAGAGUAAUCUGGAGCCAAUCCCUAAAAUCAUCCUCAGUACGGAUUGCAGGCUGCAACUGCCUGCAUGAAGUUGGAGUUGCUAGUAAACGCAGGUCAGCACACUGCGUUGAAUACGUUCUCGGGCCUU